CGCAUCUGUGCAUGCAGCAUAUCAAUAAGCGGAGGAAAAGAAACUAACAAGGAUUCCCUUAGUAACGGCGAGUGAAGCGGGAAGAGCUCAAAUUUGAAAUCUUCAAGGUUUUACCUUGACGAAUUGUAGUUUAAAGAAGUGUUUUCUGUUGAAGUUUAGGUAAAAGUUCUUUGGAAUAGGACAUCAUAGAGGGUGAGAAUCCCGUAUUUGACCAUUAUUUUCAGCUGUGUGAUACACUUUCAGAGAGUCGGAUUGUUUGGGAAUGCAGUCCAAAAUGGGUGGUAAAUUUCAUCUAAAGCUAAAUAUUGGCGAGAGACCGAUAGCGAACAAGUACCGUGAGGGAAAGAUGAAAAGAACUUUGAAAAGAGAGUUAAACAGUACGUGAAAUUGUCAAAAGGGAAGCGUUUGACACCAGUGUUGUUUUUCUGAAAAUCAAUUAAAGAACUGUUUAUGCUAAGUUGUUUAGACUUUAUCAGCUAACUGUUUAGUUUUGAGUUCUUCUUUAAUGCACUUUUCAGUUAACAAGUCAACAUCAAUUUCUUUUGCUGUAAAAAAGCUUGAGGAAGGUGGCUUGAGAUUCGUCUUAAGUGUUUAUAGCCUCUUGCCUAUGCAGUCGGAGAGAUUGAGGUCUGCAGCGUAGAUCCUUCGGGGCUAAAUGCAUUUGUGCUAAGUUAUAGCAUUUUAUAGACAACUUGUUGACUAUGAUUUGUCUUGUAGCUUACUCGCUUAUGUUAUUUUACCUACGCUUAGGAUGUUGAUGUGAUACUGCGAGCA
rnacentral:rRNA from 1 species